rnacentral:rRNA from 1 species
AACGAACGCUGGCGGCAGGCUUAACACAUGCAAGUCGAACGCCCCGCAAGGGGAGUGGCAGACGGGUGAGUAACGCGUGGGAAUCUACCUAGUUCUACGGAACAACAGAGGGAAACUUCUGCUAAUACCGUAUACGCCCUAAGGGGGAAAGAUUUAUCGGAAUUAGAUGAGCCCGCGUAAGAUUAGCUAGUUGGUGGGGUAAUGGCCUACCAAGGCGACGAUCUUUAGCUGGUCUGAGAGGAUGAUCAGCCACACUGGGACUGAGACACGGCCCAGACUCCUACGGGAGGCAGCAGUGGGGAAUAUUGGACAAUGGGCGCAAGCUUGAUCCAGCCAUGCCGCGUGAGUGAUGAAGGCCUUAGGGUUGUAAAGCUCUUUCAGUGGGGACGAUAAUGACGGUACCCACAGAAGAAGCCCCGGCUAACUUCGUGCCAGCCGCCGCUGUAACAC